CCCUUAGAUGUUCUGGGCUGCACGCGCGCUACACUGACAUGUCCAGCGAGCUCCCAACCUGCUCGGCAAAGAAUGGGUACCCUUUUUAACGCAUGUCGUGAUGGGGAUAGAUUAUUGCAAUUGUUGAUCUUGAACGAGGAAUUCCUAGUAAGUGCAAGUCAUUAGCUUGUGCUGAAUACGUCCCUGCCCUUUGUACACACCGCCCGUCGCUCCUACCGAUUGGGUGAGCCGAUGAAACUCUCGGAUGUAGGCUAUUCAUAGCCCGCAGAAGAGAUUUGAAUCGUAGCGCUUAGAGGAAGGAGAAGUCGUAACA
rnacentral:rRNA from 1 species